rnacentral:rRNA from 1 species
AGUGAACGCUGGCGGUAGGCCUAACACAUGCAAGUCGAACGACAGCACAGUAAGAGCUUGCUCUUACGGGUGGCGAGUGGCGGACGGGUGAGGAAUACAUCGGAAUCUACUUUUUCGUGGGGGAUAACGUAGGGAAACUUACGCUAAUACCGCAUACGACCUACGGGUGAAAGCAGGGGAUCUUCGGACCUUGCGCGAUUGAAUGAGCCGAUGUCGGAUUAGCUAGUUGGCGGGGUAAAGGCCCACCAAGGCGACGAUCCGUAGCUGGUCUGAGAGGAUGAUCAGCCACUCUGGAACUGAGACACGGUCCAGACUCCUACGGGAGGCAGCAGUGGGGAAUAUUGGACAAUGGGCGCAAGCCUGAUCCAGCCAUACCGCGUGGGUGAAGAAGGCCUUCGGGUUGUAAAGCCCUUUUGUUGGGAAAGAAAAGCAGCAGGUUAAUACCCCGCUGUUCUGACGGUACCCAAAGAAUAAGCACCGGCUAACUUCGUG